rnacentral:rRNA from 1 species
AUGGAAGUGGUUUCUUCCAGUCACUCUUGCUUGGCAUUUCAUCAAACCCCUACCAGUGCGCGGAGGUCUCUGGGCACUGGUCUUGGUCCGCGGCAUACCAAGCUUGCUCGGCCAAGAAAAAGCUCAGUUCUCUGUGUUGGGAGAGCUUCAAAUCCUGGUGAUUCAGGAAAGCUUAAUGUCAGCCGCAGCUUCGGUGUAAGCGAUGUCGAUGCUGCCCUCCAGGGCAUCUCCAAGAAGGUAGGCCAGAUCGAGAAAGUGGCGAUUCCUGGCCUGCCAGAAGGGCCAGACAGUUCUCAAAUCAGCACUGGUUUGUGGGAGUGGAAGCCGAAGCUGACGGUAUACUACGAGAAGUCUGGCACCAAGAAUAGCAAGGCGCCAGCAGUGCUUUUUCUACCAGGUUUUGGGGUGGGCACGUUCCAUUUUGAGAAGCAAUUGAUGGAUCUUGGCCGUGAUUACAAGGUGUGGACGAUGGAUUUUCUGGGACAGGGAAUGUCAUUGCCGUGUGAAGACCCUGCUCCUAAGGCCAUGGCAGGGGAGGAGGAUGAGGAAUCAUAUUGGGGUUUUGGACAAGAUUCGCAACCAUGGGCAGAUGAAUUGGUGUACUCUGUAGACUUGUGGCGUGACCAGGUCCAGCAUUUCAUUGAAGAGGUUAUCGGUGAACCAGUUUAUAUUGUGGGAAACUCUCUUGGAGGUUUUGUUGCUCUAUAUCUUGCUGCAUCCAGUCCACACCUUGUAAAGGGGGUCACGUUGCUUAAUGCAACGCCAUUUUGGGGUUUCCUUCCUAAUCCUGCAAGAUCUCCUCGUUUGUCAAAGAUUUUUCCAUGGGCUGGGACAUUUCCUCUUCCAUCAGUUGUGAGGAAACUUACUGAAACAGUGUGGCAGAAGAUAAGCGACCCAAGAAGUAUACAGAAGAUACUCAGGCAAGUAUAUGCUGAUCACUCAACAAAUGUUGACAAGGUGUUCUCACGUAUUAUAGAGACAACAGAACACCCAGCAGCUGCUGCAUCAUUUGCCUCCAUUAUGUUUGCUCCAAUGGGCCAGAUAUCCUUUCAGGAGGCACUAUCUAGGUGCCAAAAGCAGGACAUUCCCAUUUCCCUUAUGUAUGGGAAAGAAGAUCCUUGGGUUACACCUUAUUGGGGUAUCAGAGUCAAGCAGCAGGUGCCAGAAGCACCCUAUUAUGAAAUCAGCCCUGCCGGUCACUGUCCUCACGACGAGGUUCCUGAGCGACGGCAUCCAGCCGCACCACCUAGUCAGCAACUUCCAGCGGCGCCGCCUUGCGCCGUGCCUGCGCACCUACAUCCAGCAGGUUGGCCUGGAUCAGUGGAUCCCAUGUGGUUCUUGCCGCCGUCAAAUUCAGCCGCCGUUGUGGCCCCUGCCCUGCCCAUUGGCUCACGCUACAAGGUUAUAAACUAUUUGCUCCGAGGAUGGCUUAAGAAUGUGGAGUCUGAGGGUUCAGUUGACCUCCCAUUUCUUGAAGAUUCCAGCUUUGAAGAACAUGGUGUAUCGAGGGAGCUGGAGUUUGUUAGGACAGGGUCCAAGAAAUCAGUUAGUGUGCGGCUCUUCGGUUCCCAAAUUUCCCUGUGGAACCAACUGAGCUCAUUCUUGAAGCGGCAUGCCUCCAGCAUACGGGUAGUAUCCAGAUGA